CGGGGUGUGGCUCAGUGGUACAGCACUUGCCUAGCAUGUGUGAGGCACUGGGUUCGAUUCUCAGCACCACGU
rnacentral:tRNA from 1 species